CUUCCAAGCUGGGAGAGGUACACGCAAAAUCGAAAGAAAUGACGAAGACGCACACCAUUCUUCUAGCACUUAGCUUGGUAGUUCUGUUCUCCUGCAAUUUUGUGGAGGGUGGAGUAUACAUGAACCAAGGAACACUUUCUCGCAAAGGACUAAAAGAAGAAUGCAAGCUAGUCACUACUGGAGUAAGUCCAUCACUUAGCAGUUUAUCAGGACAGGCAACUAGCAACAUUAAUGCAGGACAGGCAACUAACAACAACGCUGACAGCACAAACACAGAUAUGGCAGCUACAACCACAGACUCCCACCAUGAUCUCUCAGCAGAUCAGUACCGAAGGUUCAUCCGCAACAAUCAGAAAAAACCUUGAUGAAGGAUUCAAACAUCAGAACCAUGCGCAGCUAUUAACCUGAUCGACGAGGGAAAGUAUAUCCAGUUAGCAACUUUAAUCAUAAGUUGUCAUGUACACAAAAUUUCCACCACAAACUGUCUACUGUGUGCAGUAGUAUUUGCCUUGUACUAUAUAAUCCAUCUGCUGCGUAUUAGAAUAUCAAGCUUUUCCAAUGCUCAUGCAUGUAAUGUACUAAUGUGUACAUUAUACUGAGACAAAUAAAUAACAUGUCCAUGCUCCAUGGUUA